AUUAUUAAGGGGAAUCCCUGAAUAUAUUCUCCAGCAAAGAAGGCAGGGCUGCUGGGGCUGCUCAAGAGGAGAGCCAGCAGCCUCCUAUAGCACCACUACAGGCACUGAGAGGACAUAACAUCAGAGAGCGGAUCCUCUGCCCUCCAAAACAACAACUUUCCUACCAUCUUGGAGGCCAUGUAGAGAAGCUAUGGGGGAUUUAAAGCAACUGAGUGGAAUGUGAUCAAUAUCUGAUAAAUAUCUGCAAAAUUCUGCUAAUCUGUUAUAAAUUUAGCGUGGUCUGCCCUUCAAGAUGGGAUGUGAUAAAACUGGUAGCAAAAAAUUGGAGGUAGUAGUUGUGUUUUUAAUGUUUUCAAAGCACUUUGCAGUCUUCUAAAAUUUGUGUCGGUUCUUUUUAAGUUAGUGUUUUGAUUUAGGGGCUGUAUUCCAGAUAUUUAUGAAUGCUGCUUUUUCCUGACUUCUUUACAAAGUUGAGAAAUCCUAUAAAUGUAUACUACAAUAUUUUGUAAUACAAAAGAGUAGUUGUGUUUUUCUUUAUGCAGAUGUUUCUAUGAGAUUGUUUUGACAGCAUUUCAUAUAUUUUUACAAUAUGGGAUGCUAUGGUGUAUCUAUAGGUGAAGACACUGGUUACUGUAUUCAGUAGACCAAAUAUGAUUAUGCACAGCCCUGUUCAGAGAUGAACUACAAGUAUGCCUUCUGAUGUGUCCUGAAGGAAGAGGAAUAAUUUAUAAACUAAUGAGCUGUAAAUAAAUAAAUGUGUUUAAGUUUCUUUCAUUGUAAAAACUAUUCAGAUAGUAUAGGCUCAUUGAACUGCAGUCAGAAUGAAAGUAUUGAGUCACUUACUAUGUUAUCAACCUCUCCCCUGCCUCUGUCAAACCUGAAAUGUGUUGUUUUAUCUCAGCUACUGUAAUCUAAAAAAAAAUAAAGUUGAAAAGGUAAUGUAUCUAA